rnacentral:rRNA from 1 species
AGAGUUUGAUCCUGGCUCAGGAUGAACGCUAGCUACAGGCUUAACACAUGCAAGUCGAGGGGCAGCAUGGUCUUAGCUUGCUAAGGCCGAUGGCGACCGGCGCACGGGUGAGUAACGCGUAUCCAACCUGCCUUACACUCUUGGACAGCCUUCUGAAAGGGAGAUUAAUACAAGAUGUUAUCAUGAGUAAGCAUUUUCGCAUGAUUAAAGGUUUACCGGUGUAAGAUGGGGAUGCGUUCCAUUAGAUAGUAGGCGGGGUAACGGCCCACCUAGUCUUCGAUGGAUAGGGGUUCUGAGAGGAAGGUCCCCCACAUUGGAACUGAGACACGGUCCAAACUCCUACGGGAGGCAGCAGUGAGGAAUAUUGGUCAAUGGACGAGAGUCUGAACCAGCCAAGUAGCGUGAAGGAUGAAGGUUCUAUGGAUUGUAAACUUCUUUUAUACGGGAAUAAACGAAUCUACGUGUGGAUUUUUGCAUGUACCGUAUGAAUAAGGAUCGGCUAACUCCGUGCCAGCAGCCGCGGUAAUACGGAGGAUCCGAGCGUUAUCCGGAUUUAUUGGGUUUAAAGGGAGCGUAGAUGGGUUGUUAAGUCAGUUGUGAAAGUUUGCGGCUCAACCGUAAAAUUGCAAUUGAUACUGGCAGUCUUGAGUACAGUUGAGGUAGGCGGAAUUCGUGGUGUAGCGGUGAAAUGCUUAGAUAUCACGAAGAACUCCGAUUGCGAAGGCAGCUUACUAACCUGUAACUGACAUUGAUGCUCGAAAGUGUGGGUAUCAAACAGGAUUAGAUACCCUGGUAGUCCACACGGUAAACGAUGAAUACUCGCUGUAGGCGAUAUACAGUCUGCGGCCAAGCGAAAGCAUUAAGUAUUCCACCUGGGGAGUACGCCGGCAACGGUGAAACUCAAAGGAAUUGACGGGGGCCCGCACAAGCGGAGGAACAUGUGGUUUAAUUCGAUGAUACGCGAGGAACCUUACCCGGGCUUAAAUUGCAACAGAAUAUAUUGGAAACAGUAUAGCCGUAAGGCUGUUGUGAAGGUGCUGCAUGGUUGUCGUCAGCUCGUGCCGUGAGGUGUCGGCUUAAGUGCCAUAACGAGCGCAACCCUUAUCUUUAGUUACUAACAGGUUAUGCUGAGGACUCUAGAGAGACUGCCGUCGUAAGAUGUGAGGAAGGUGGGGAUGACGUCAAAUCAGCACGGCCCUUACGUCCGGGGCUACACACGUGUUACAAUGGGGGGUACAGAAGGCGGCUACCUGGUGACAGGAUGCUAAUCCCAAAAACCUCUCUCAGUUCGGAUCGAAGUCUGCAACCCGACUUCGUGAAGCUGGAUUCGCUAGUAAUCGCGCAUCAGCCAUGGCGCGGUGAAUACGUUCCCGGGUCUUGUACACACCGCCCGUCACACCAUGGGAGUCGGAAAUGCCCGAAGCCAGUGACCCAACCUUUUGGAGGGAGCAGUCGAAGGUGGAGCCGGUAACUGGGGUGAAGUCGUAACAAGGUA